CCUGUACAAAUUACUCAGUCUCAGGUAUUUCCCCAUAGCAGCGUGAGAAUGGACUAAUACACCUUGGUAUCAGGGCAACUCUUUUUAUUUCCUGCUCUGGACUAGUUGGCCUGGGGAAGAAUCAGGUUAAGAUUUGGUCCUGUCCUGUGGAUAAUUCCACCUGGCUAUUCCAAAAGUACUUCAAAGUCAGUAUGCACAAGACUGAACUCACUGGCUUUCCUCCCGAUGUUCUUACCUCUAGAUUAGGCAUCCUGAGUCUCCUAGGCCUGACUUUGAAGGAAUCACAUCAAGCACUCUCACUCCAUAUGGAGAAAGCACUGAGAGCUCUCUACCAACUGGUACAAAGCCUUCCAACCUUUCCCUCAUCCACCCCCUACUCGAGACCCACGUGGAAGGGACUGGCCUAAGGAUAGAUAUCUGACCCAGACAGCGUCAAUCAGUGGCCUUCCCUGACGUUUACUCUGUGAGUAAUGGAAGAAAGUGACUCUCUGUAACCUGAGCUGUUGGGUGCCAGUUUGGAGGGACUGGCAGCUCCUUCCCUCCCCAGGCCAACAGGCAAGAGACUCAGUGCUCAGACUGGGAAAGGACAGGAGGAGAAACAGACAGGGAAGGGAUGGGGCAGCAGCAUCUAAGCCCCUGCCUCCAGCUACCCUGGGCUUCCCAGUUAUUAAAUAAACACAAUUUUAUUCUGCUCCA